CCCCAGCUAGCUCUGUCAGUAGAGCAUGAGACUGUUAAUCUCAGGAUUGUGGGUUCAAGCCCCACAUUGGGCA
rnacentral:tRNA from 1 species